GCCUUCGUGGUGUAGUGGUCAGUUUAGUUUCGUAUUCCAGAGGUCCUUGGUUCGAGUCCCAGCGAAGGCA
rnacentral:tRNA from 1 species